rnacentral:lncRNA from 1 species
AAAUCUUUAAACAAAUCGAUUUAAGUCAAUUCAAGAAUUUUAAAAUCAGUAUUAAUAGAAAAGAUCGUAUUUCAAGUCCCUUCCCGAUUUUUAAUUUUCGAUAUUAAGACACUAACUAAUCAAUUCGGUACCAAUUUUUUGGGCGUGUCGAGGGUGCUAAUCCUUCCUCGCACGUAACCGACUCCCGAACUCAUUCUCUCAAGUUUCGUAGACCAAAGGCCCUGUUUUAGUAAACUAAAAUUGAUUUAUU